GAUGAACGCUGGCGGCGUGCCUAACACAUGCAAGUCGAACGAAGCACUGAAAACGGAGAUUCGUCGAAGUUUUCUUUGACUUAGUGGCGGACGGGUGAGUAAUGCGUGAGCAACCUGCCUUUCAGAGGGGGACGAACAGUUGGAACGACUGCUAAUACCGCAUAACGUAUUUUGGGGGUCGAUCCCCGGGACGUACCAAAGGAAGCAAUACCGCUGAAAGAAUGGGCGUCACGUCUGAUUAGCUAGUUGGUGAGGUAACGGCUCACCAAGGCUGCGAUCAGUAGCCGGACUGAGAGGUUGAACGGCCACAUUGGGACUGAGAUACGGCCCAGACUCCUACGGGAGGCAGCAGUGGGGAAUAUUGGGCAAUGGGCGAAAGCCU
rnacentral:rRNA from 1 species